UACGUAGGGACCGAGCGUUGUCCGGAUUCAUUGGGCGUAAAGAGCUCGUAGGCGGCCACUCAAGUCGAAUGUGAAACCUCGAGGCUCAACCUCGAGCCUGCAUUCGAUACUGGGCGGCUAGAGUCUGGUAGGGGGAUCUGGAAUUCCUGGUGUAGCGGUGGAAUGCGCAGAUAUCAGGAGGAACACCGGUGGCGAAGGCGGGAUCCUGGGCCAGUACUGACGCUGAGGAGCGAAAGCG
rnacentral:rRNA from 1 species